rnacentral:tRNA from 1 species
GCCUUUGUGGUUUAGUGGUCAGCACACUCGGCACAUAUUAAAAAAAUCCAGGGUUCGAGUCCCGGCAAGGGCA